UGGCAACAGCCAAAACUCAUACACCACAGAUCCCGCCACAUCUAAAACUGGUGGCACUACACCUUGCACUAAACCUCAUCAAGAAGCUUGCAGGGAUGACCAUGCACGUACUACUACUUGCUCAGAUCAUAUACCCCCUC